rnacentral:rRNA from 1 species
GCUUGUCUCAAAGAUUAAGCCAUGCAUAUCUAAGAAUAACUAACAUUAUCUUGAAUCUGUGAAUGGCUCAUUAUAUCAGUUAUAGUUUACAUGAUAGUCAAUACUACUUGGAUAACCGUGGUAAUUCUAGAGCUAAUACAUGCAAAAAAACCCAGACUUACGAAUGGGUGCACUUAUUAGAUAAAGCCAACGCUGGGUAAAACCAGUUUCCCUUGGUGAUUCAUAAUAAUUAAGCGGAUCGCAUGGCCUUGUGCUAGCGACAGUCCACUCGAUUUUCUGCCCUAUCAUGGUUGAGAUUGUAAGAUAGAGGCUUACAAUGCCUACAACGGGUAACGGGGAAUUAGGGUUCGAUUCCGGAGAGGGAGCCUGAGAAACGGCUACCACAUCCAAGGAAGGCAGCAGG